AUGUGUGUAUCUGAAUGUGUGUGUAUCUGUCCAUGUAUCUAUGUGUAUAUCUGUGUCUAUGUGUGUGUGUCUGUGUGUAUAUGUGUCUGUGUGUAUAUAUCUGUGUAUAUGUGUGUAUAUCUGUGUGUACCUGUGUCUUUGUAUGUUUAUGUGAGUAUUGGUGUGUGUCUGUGUCUGUCAUGCAUUGACGUGUAUCUGUGUUUUUGUGUGCAUCUAUAUGUAUCUGCGUGUAUGUCUUUGUGUAUCUAUAGAUCGGUGUCUAUGUGUAGAUUAUCUGUGUGUCCAUCUGCGUAUUGUAUGUCCAUGUGUGUCUACGCGUGUAUCUGUGUGUCCGUGUGUGUGUGUCCAUGUAUAUGUGUCUAUGCAGGUAUCAUCUGUGUGUCUAUGUGUAUUGUGUGUCCAUGCAUAUAUCUGUAUCUAUGUGUAUGUCUAUGUGUGUGUCCAUAUGUUUCUGUGUCACGUAUCUGUGUCUAUGUGUGUAUCAUCUGUGUCCACAUGUAUCUGUGUGUAUCUGUGUUUCUGUGUGUGUGUCUAUGUCUGUAUCUGUGUGUCCACAUGUAUAUCUAUGUUUCUGUGUAUUUCUAUGUGUGUAUCUGUGUUUCUGUGCGUAUCUGUAUCUGUGUUUCUGUGUCUAUGUGUGUAUCUGUGUGUCCACAUGUGUAUAUCUGUGUGUUUCUGUGUGUAUCUAUGUGUGUAUCUGUGUGUUUCCGUGUGUAUCUGUGUAUCUGUGUGUUUCUGUAUCUAUGUGUGUAUCUGUGUUUCUGUGUGUAUCUAUGUGUGUAUCUGUGUGUUUCUGUGUGUGUCUAUGUGUGUAUCUGUGUGUUUCUGUGUGUCUAUGUGUGUAUCUGUGUGUCCACAUGUGUAUAUCUGUGUUUCUGUGUGUAUGUGUGUAUCUGUGUGUGUUUCUGUAUCUAUGUGUGUAUCUGUGUGUGUUUCUGUGUGUAUCUAUGUGUGUAUCAGUGUGUGUCUGUUUUCUCUUUGUUUUCACAGUGUCCACAGACGGGCAGACUGAACCACCAAAUUCCUCCUCAGAGCCCAGUAAAGGCACCAGGCAGAAGGGUCCGGCCGAGGGCUGGCCACUGUCUCCUCACUCCUCAGUGGGGUCCUGUCUUCCGACUUUUGUCAUGUGCUGCCGCAGCCUGUGGACGCCUGGUCCCCACGUGGAGACGGGCUUGUGGUCCCUCCUCUGAGAGCCUGCUUUGUGCCCGGCCCCGGGCCGAACUUUGA
rnacentral:lncRNA from 1 species